rnacentral:rRNA from 1 species
AUGGCGGGAGGGAUCGCGGUGGCGCACGGGAGGCAGCUCAAGGUGGACUCGCAGGAGCACGAGGAGGACUCUCAGGAGCUCGAGGACGAUGAGAGGGAGCUCCUGCUCCACCGGAUCGUGGUUGAAAUUCCAGCGACGCCCGCAGGUAAUCGCCGCGGGAUGGGAUCACGGCGGCGCAGGUCUGGGCAGCGGUGGCGGAGUAAGUACUUGGCGACAGUGGUGGCGUUGAAGGUACGUGGCGACGGAGGCGGAACACUUCCUGGUGGGCGGCAAAUCGCGCAGCUUGGCGGCGCCGGCCCCUGGAGACGCACGGGCGACGGCGGAGGAAGAAGACGGGGUGGAGGGACUUGUUUGUGA